rnacentral:rRNA from 1 species
CAGGGCUUGACAUGCUGGAAGUAGAAAUCCGAAAGGAGGACGACCUGUUAAGUCAGGGACCAGCACAGGUGCUGCAUGGCUGUCGUCAGCUCGUGCCGUGAGGUGUUGGGUUAAGUCCCCUAACGAGCGCAACCCUCGUUGCCAGUUAAUUUCUCUGGCGAGACUGCCCCGCAAAACGGGGAGGAAGGCGGGGAUGACGUCAAGUCAGCACGGCCCUUAUGUCCUGGGCUACACACACGCUACAAUGGGUGGUACAGUUGGGUGCAAUGGAGCGAUCCGGAGCAAAUCCUCAAAACCAUCCUCAGUACGGAUUGUAGGCUGAAACCCGCCUGCAUGAAGCUGGAGUUGCUAGUAACCGCAUAUCAGCAUGGUGCGGUGAAUACGUUCU